CGGGAAACCGUGGCUAAUACCGGAUACUCCGGCGGGAUCGCAUGGUCCUGCCGGGAAAGCUCCGGCGGUGAGGGAUGGGCCCGCGGCCCAUUAGCUUGUUGGUGAGGUAACGGCUCACCAAGGCCGCGAUGGGUAGCCGAGCUGAGAGGCUGAUCGGCCAUACUGGGACUGAGACACGGCCCAGACUCCUACGGGAGGCAGCAGUGGGGAAUCUUGCGCAAUGGGCGAAAGCCUGACGCAGCGACGCCGCGUGCGGGAUGAAGGCCUUCGGGUCGUAAACCGCUUUCAGCAGGGAUGAAACUGACAGUACCUGCAGAAGAAGCCCCGGCUAACUACGUGCCAGCAGCCGCGGUAAUACGUAGGGGGCGAGCGUUAUCCGGAUUCAUUGGGCGUAAAGCGCGCGUAGGCGGCUUGUUAAGCGAGAUGUGAAAUCCGUGGGCUCAACCCGCGGCCUGCAUCUCGAACUGGCAGGCUUGAGUCUGGUAGAGGAAAGUGGAAUUCCGAGUGUAGCGGUGAAAUGCGCAGAUAUUCGGAGGAACACCAGUGGCGAAGGCGGCUUUCUGGGCCACGACUGACGCUGAGGCGCGAAAGCUAGGGGAGCAAACAGGAUUAGGUACCCUGGUAGUCCUAGCCGUAAACGAUGGGCACUAGGUGUGGGGGAUCAUAGACGUCUUCCGUGCCGAAGCUAACGCAUUAAGUGCCCCGCCUGGGGAGUACGGCCGCAAGGCUAAAACUCAAAGGAAUUGACGGGGGCCCGCACAAGCAGCGGAGCAUGUGGCUUAAUUCGACGCAACGCGAAG
rnacentral:rRNA from 1 species